GUUUUACAAGCAAAGGCAAAUUUCCAGGGCCCCCAACCUGGGAAAACUUCUGUUUCCAUGUUUGCUGUCUGGGGUUAAGAGAUGGGGGCAGAGAUUGAAGGCCAGGUGCCUGCGAAGCACCCUCGGUUUCACGUCCGGAAAACGAGCACUAUUGGGGGAACCAAGGGGACAGUGAGGACCAGGGAAAGAUGACAGAGAAAGAGGUUCUUAAAGGCAUAACCCCAGGGACUUCCCCCUUUUCCUGGGGUCCCUUUUAUGCCUCCUAAUGAUAAAUUUAGAAGUUGAUGUCUAUCUGCAGAAAGAAGGGAAAAUACAGGGAGUUAGACUUUUGAAGGGAGUCAUCUGUGUACCUUAUUUACUCUUAGAUAAGCGACAUGCCCACAUCAUUUGCUUUUGGUAAAGGCUACUGGGCUGCUUGUUUGCCAAAGACACGUGACUUUUUAACCACGAGCAGUUCAGGGUGUUACCAGAACAAAACCCUUAAUUCUGACUUGCCAAUCCUGCUCACAUGCACGCACACACACACGAUUUUUUGAGCCCCUAUUUGUAGAUGUCACUAGUGGUCUGGGUCUCCACGUGUUCCUCUUUAAACAGCUGCAUGUCCAUCUGUCGUGGCAUCAGACCUUGCUCGCCUCCAGCUCUUCUGUGUUCCGCACAUGCCCGAGGUUCACCCCAUGCUCUCCCCAGCUUGCUGAACCCCCCUUACCCUCCAGAGAGUUCCUCAUGCAAGAGGAGGGUCUCUGGGGUGUGCAGGGACAUGAGAACAUGCCAACCAGGACCUAUAGGACCGGGACAGCGUCUAACUGCUCCGCUCAUUCCUGUCCAUGACCUCAACUGCAUAAGGCAAUUAGUAUGGGCAGGAUCAAAUGCUGCCUAAUUUAAUUCAAUUACUCCUUACGGCAAGGAAAAAUAUGGUUGCUGCUGCGACAGGACCCCGUGAGGAGCACGGCUCCCGGCCUGUGACCUGCCAGUGUGUCACCCAGCUGUGAGAAGCAAAUGAGGCUAGUGGGAGGGGAGGGCAGAGCUGGGUCCCUCUGCCCUAAGGCACGGGGCUGGGUGUCCAGCUGCAGUGGCCCCGAGGAAGCUUUCUGACAGAAACGCACAGAUAACGUGGGCAUGUCUGUUACCAAGGAUUGCAGCCCAGGUGUGGAGAAGCCAGGCGUGGCUGAAUUAUUUACCAAGUUCUGCGGAGAAGGGAUGAAGCCGAGCAAGUGGCAGCAGCUGGCGGAGGAAAGGGAGCUAUUUUCCCAAAUGACUAUCUUCAGGGAAAUUUCUUAUUUAUGGUUCAUAAGUCUCUAUGAGAGAUUUAACAGCUAAGAAGGCAGUGUAGAUCUUAAAACUUUUUAGACUUCAUCUACACCUAGCUGCCACUUACCUCGUUGCAUUUCAGAAGAACUGACACCACCACCCGACCUGCACUUGCGGUCGGCCGGUCGCUGUCCGGUGCUGUCGGUGUGCGUCAGCUUCUUGUAUUCUCCCAAGAACACUGUGAGCAAGCGGCCCUCACUACCCCCACCUUAUAGACAGAGGAAAGGGGCCGAGGGAGGCUGCACCCUGCCCGGGGUCGCAUAGCUGGUGGACAGAGUGGCCUCCGGCCGGAUCUGUCCAUCGCAAAGCCCUCGAUCCUGACCAUUGUGCCUAACUUAUUUGCCGAGUCAUCUUUGCCUUUCUCUGCAUGUCCCGAUGUCACGGAGGAGAGAGGUCCUCCCACAUCUCAGAAGGAUGCUGAGUCCACAAGAUCCCUUGCCACACGGAGCGUACCACCAUUUCUUCACCAGCAUGAACGACCAUCUAGCAGUUUUGCAGGGAAUUUUGAAAGCCUUAGAAACUCACAGGAAUGUGCCCAGGGGCUUACCACACUUGCCCAGAUCACCACAGUGACACCUCAAAGCCAAAGCGGGGAAACCACAGCCUGAAGACGGGGAGCGUGAUGUUCCAGGUCCUGCUUACAUCAUUAGUGAUGGUUCUCCACCACGAGGCCCUUCUAGAGUCAGCGUCACUUUCUGCAGAUUCCAUGGAGCUAUGCUGACAUGUUAGCUCGGGCGUCAGCCCUGCUGUGCUUCUGGCAGGAGGGACGCCAGCCCCCUGCCCUGAUCUGGGUGGCACGAGCCAUUUCCUCCCUCCGCCAGAGCAUCUCCGUCCUCUGGGAUGAUGUGCCACCAUGAUCGGGCGCCUGAUGCGACCUCUUAGGACGUCUCCGCCCCGUGUCCUGGGCUUCCAUGGCCCCUGCGGAGGGUGCAGAGCAUGCUGACGGAAGCCAGAUCUUCCUGGUUAGUUCUGAUUGAGCUUUGUGGAGUUAGGUGUUUUCAUGAAGCGGAGAACAGUUUACUGUCCUGACUAGCAACAGCGUAUCCUCUCUGGGGACUGCGCUUAGACACAUGGGGUGCACAGGGAAGCCGGGACCUGGCUCCUUGUCCCUGGGCUGCACUUUUGAGCUGGACCUUUGGCCUCUCCGCCUCUGCUCCCCAUUACUGUGGGAGCUGACAUCGGCGGGGUCCCCAGCCCAUUCGGUCUCCUGCACAUGAAUGGGAUCGUGGUUCGGGGCUCUUAGCCCUCCGACGGCCAAGCUGCAGGUUCCUGUCGUAACUGCUGCUGUUACUCAGACAAGGAAAAGAAUGUCCCAGUGCCAGGGACCAGGGCUCACAGCGAUGGCUGAGCAGGGGUCAGGAGCCUGACAGCCACCGACAUGCUGGCUCCUGGGUCCACCCAAGGGAACCUGGACAGAAAACGGUGGCUCAGCGGGUGACUCUGUCAUUGUAACUUGAAGAGCUUUUGUCUUGAUUUCCACACCAUCUGAGCUCCUGAAUCAUCACACCUGAAGCAACACAGAGCAGCCAGCAGAGCCACAUGGCAUCCGGAGCCGGCGACACCCCGGCCUGCCCAGACCGGCCUGCCCGGAGUGGGUGUGGGAGGAGACGGGCCUGCGGGCCGCGGGGCCUGCGGCCUGGGGCUGCUGCCCCUCUGUGGGAGGCAGGCCAGACCUCGGGGCUGCUGAUGAGCCGUGUGGCGUCUGGCGAGGCCCGGCCUGGGAGCGGGUGUGACUCAUCGUGACCCUUUUCAGUGACGCUGCCGACUCGUUCCCUUUUCUCUCCUCUCCUGCUCUGCGCCAGAGCCGCCUGACAUAGCAGCAAAUUAGCCUCCUUCUGGAAAAGGCAGAGAGGGAUCAAGGACCCCUGAGGAGGCCCCCAGGGCUCUGCACCUGGGGGUUCUGCAGUCCAAGCAGCUGUCUGGCAGGGAAGGGUUGGCAGGGUGGUGGUGUCUCCCGACCCAACAGCAGACGGGGUCCGAGGGCAGAGCCCAGCUACUGAGGCGCAGCGGGGCUCUGCACCAGCAAAGGCGGACUCUCUCCUGUGCUUCCCAGUCUCCAGCCCCACCUGCCGACCCUCCCAUUUCCCGCUCAAAGGCGCCCUUGCAUGGAGCGAUGUUUCCAUCCCCACGUGGAAAUGUGACGUGUGGCGGGCCUGCAAUGCCCCGGCUUCCUGGACUGGGGGUGGGAGCUGACCCUUCCCUCAGACGCCCUCCCUCCCACCCAGCGCGUGGAUGGGUAAGUUCCUUGGGCGCCCACCCCAGAGCCCCACCUGCCUUCUCUCGUGGGGAAGGCGUGUACGUGCGCAUCCCAGGGGUGCUGGUGGUACCAUCUGCUGGCUUGCAGGCUGGCAGGAUUUCAGAAUUUCAGGAAGGCAGCUUUUGCUGAUGUUGGACCAGAACUGUCAGGAAGGAGCAGCAAUCGUCUAAUGGAUGCGGUGCCCUCCUCGGACCAGCCCUCUGAGAGGGACUCAAGGGCAAUUUCUAACACCAGAGCCCAAGCACUUACGUUUGGGGAGACGAGCAAGUGAGAGAGAACACGUUCAUCAAGAGCUGGAAAACACGGAGGCAGCUUUUAACAUUCCCUAUUCCCUAAAAUAAACUGUCUAGCUCAAUUUUUUUUUUAACCCUUUAAUAUUUAAGCCUGUUUCCUCUCUUUCUUAGCCUUGUGGGCCUACGACUGACCCUAAGGACAUCCCAAAUGGUAACUAGAGGUAUCAAAACUCUAUUUUCCAAAUUAAAAUGUAAGACGGGUAUUCAACAUGUCAGAAUAUUUGCAGAAUGAUAAGCGAAGGUAUUUACAUUAGAGUUUUCUCUGAGCAUUCCGACCCCAGAACGCCCUUUAGUUGCUGAAUACCUUGUAUUCAUAAGGCAUCUGGAUUCGUGAUUCACACGGGAUUUGCCCCUGGUGCCUGGAGGGCAGAUCUGGCUUUCGCCAUGUUUUGUAUGAUUACAUGCAGUAUUUCAAAACCGGGACAUUUCUCAUAAACAGCCAAAUUUCUAGCUUCUUUUUAAAAAUCCUAAAGUCUGGCAAUCGUGCCUUCACAGGCAAGCAUAGUGACAGUUCACUGGAACUGAGCGGCUGCUGACUGCAGAAUACCUUGCCACACUCCCUGCCACUGCACGGUUAACCUCCUUUUCCUACCUGGCCAGCCCGGCCUCUCCCGGCACUGGAUUUGUGCCGGCUGACGUAGUCCUACAGCCCACUGAUGGUCAAGCCUUCAGACUGUUCAACGUCAGGGAAGGAGCACAGCUCAACUCCCAUCACGGCAGUCCCCCUGCAGAGGGCUGGUCCUCAGCACAGUGACGGUCAAAUGUGACAUCCUGUGCCUGAGGUGCUGGGAACCCUAAUGCCGAGGAUGUGUUCCACCUUUGCGUCUUUGAUCGCAGAAGAGCCCCAGAGAGGCCAUCAUCAAAGGGUGCUGUGUGUCGUCCCCUGAUAUGAAAUACGUCCUCGCAGUGACUUCCCAGUGGCCCUGUUAGCAGGAGACGGACCCUCAGACAGGGCGCAGAGGGACCUGCCUUCUGUCCGCCCAGUCUGUUCACCCGCGGUUCCCAAGGGGCCCUCUCCCGGGAGGAAGGGGGAGCAGAACAUCAGCGAUUCUUCGUCGCUCAGAAGCAUGAAGGCCCUCUCUCUGUCCCGUCCCUUUUGAGCAUUUCAGUUCCGAACACAUGAAUGGCUGAAGCUCUGAGUGUAAAGGGAAGGAAAGUGAUCAUUUACAAUCCAGUGUAAGAUACCUACCUUGAAACCAGAUGAAAAGAUAUCCGUAUCAUAUCUACAUAUCUAUGUAUGUUAACAUAUCUGUGUCUAUACAUUGUGAUGCUCUUUUAUUCCACCUCUGGAAGUCGUAUCCUCAUCAUGCAUGUCUCCAUGCGGGAAUGGUUCCCUCUACAGUUUUUAUAACCCUACGCCAACUCCCGAAGUACAUGCGUGCAUGCGUGUGCACACACACACACACACACACACACACACACACAGGCCUCGGCUUGACAUAGCUGCCCGUGACUGUAGGUUGCUUUUGAUGUAUUCUUAUUGGAGAAACAAGAUGUCGAGGCAAAGCAAAAAUAAAACAAAAGCCCACAACUCAAAA